rnacentral:rRNA from 1 species
CGAGCGGUAAGGCCCUUUCGGGGGUACACGAGCGGCGAACGGGUGAGUAACACGUGGGUGACCUGCCCUCCACUCUGGGAUAAGCCCGGGAAACUGGGUCUAAUACCGGAUAGGACCAUUGGAUGCAUGUCUGGUGGUGGAAAGUUUUUUCGGUGGGGGAUGGGCCCGCGGCCUAUCAGCUUGUUGGUGGGGUGAUGGCCUACCAAGGCGGUGACGGGUAGCCGGCCUGAGAGGGCGACCGGCCACACUGGGACUGAGACACGGCCCAGACUCCUACGGGAGGCAGCAGUGGGGAAUAUUGCGCAAUGGGCGGAAGCCUGACGCAGCGACGCCGCGUGGGGGAUGACGGCCUUCGGGUUGUAAACCUCUUUCGCCAGGGACGAAGCUAACGUGACGGUACCUGGAGAAGAAGCACCGGCCAACUACGUGCCAGCAGCCGCGGUAACACGUAGGGUGCGAGCGUUGUCCGGAAUUAUUGGGCGUAAAGAGCUCGUAGGCGGUGUGUCGCGUCGGCCGUGAAAACUUGGGGCUUAACUCUGAGCGUGCGGUCGAUACGGGCAUCACUUUGAGUUCGGCAGGGGAGACUGGAAUUCCUGGUGUAGCGGUGAAAUGCGCAGAUAUCAGGAGGAACACCGGUGGCGAAGGCGGGUCUCUGG